rnacentral:rRNA from 1 species
UGGGAGAUUUGGAAGGAAAGAAGCGUGCGUGUCUUUAGAAAUAAAGCGGCACCGGUGGCUGCGAUUGUUAGCCUUAUUAAGGACGAGGCAUCGCUUUGGGCUAUUGCGGGUGCCAAGCAUUUGAGUAAUGUAAUGCCACGAGAGUAA